rnacentral:lncRNA from 1 species
UUAAUAUAUUUUUCUUUUACAAAUGACCUGAGCUAAUAUUUAGUUGUCUCAUCUCUUUUUUACUGGACUAAUUUCUAUAUUUAAAAAAAUAAUUUAAGUGGCUAGAUUUGGACUAUUUUCUGUUUUCUUUUUCUUUGACUAGUAGCAGAGAGAAUUUCCAUUCUUUAGUGGAAGUUUACAAAAUAUAACUAUGUGAUACUACUGCUUGACACAGUCUUUAAGUAGGCAAGUGAAUAUUUUUACAAACAAAAGCUGCUAGCCUGAGACCCAGUCCCUGAUUUUUCCCAUUCGUGUCCUACUUCUCUGCUUCCUGGCCUGCUAAGGCUCCCACCCCACCCCACUUGUGCCUUAUCUCUCUAGUCCACUCCCUUUCUGGCCUCUGGAGAGAAGAGCAAGCUGGCUGUAACAUCAUAUGCCUCACAAUGGGGCUAGGCUGUCAUACAUCACUGCCCACAGCUUUGCUGUGCUGGUUCAGCUAAGAAGGAGUCUAACUCUGGAGUGAGCUGGACCACAAAAUCCCCAGGAGGACACCUUUCCCUGGUUGUUUUGACUUAAAAGGAAGUAUUGUUUAAGAAAGAGGAAGCUCUGCCCUCAGAAGUGAGAGAAGAACCAGCAGCAACAGAUUUGCAAACUCUAAAGGUCUUCAGAGCUGGGGGACAGGUUUUGGGGAAAGUAUGUGGAGAGAAGAAUGAAAGCUUGAAAAUUGAGUCUCUGGUUUCAGGGAAGGAAGAAGAUGAAAGUCACAGCUGGACUACACAGGUACACCUGGGAUGGAGGGUUCUAGUGAGGGAGUAUUGAUUCCAAAUGACCGUUCUCUUUCUUUUCCUUCUUCUCUUGAAAAUUGGUUCUUAGAUAGAAAUCACUGUUGAUGACAGUGCAGGCUAU